rnacentral:lncRNA from 1 species
GUGGAAUCCUGGUUUUGAGUAGAAUAGACGUUAUUUAUUUCAAGACCUCUCAGAAUUUCUCAGAUCCUAUUGUGAGCAAAUCAUGUUUUUCCAUAAACAGAUCCAUUCACCUUCUAAGAAAUGUCGUUCUACAUCCCAGAUGACCUUCCCAAACUGUUACACUGCUCGCUUACUGGUUUAGAAAAUUUAAACUUAUUUUUCACCUAAGACCAAGCGCUCAGAAAACCCAGAGACUGUCAUGCGGGCCGUGGAGCUUACAGGCUGUGUGUAUGCCGUACAGCAAUGCACAGUGUGUCGGUAUCAUCAUUUUCUUUCAUAUGAAAAUAUCACUUCUACAUUAGAGCUGAUCAUGUUUUCAGUCCAGGAGGAUUUGGUGGUGUGUGUUCCUGGCCAUCAACAUCCAGGGAGAUGAGUGAAGUCAAGAAAAAAGAAUACUGGGAGGUGAAGGAGCUGCCCGGAGGGAGAUGAUGAAACUUCUGCCAUUGCCAUCACCCCAGGGCCCAGUGCUGAAUGAUUCCGUGAUAGUCCUGAAAUCUUAAUGUAAGUGAAGGGCUUUGUGUUUCCCAUGAGCCCCGCAGCUUAGAGGGAAAUGAGUCUGCCGGCAGCGCUGAGAGCCUGGAGACGGCCCUCUGUGGAACAGAGCCUCUGAGGAGCAUCCCUUUGCCACCAUCACCCAACUCAGAAGAGCCUUCUGAGCUCUGCUGGAAGAGCUCCUCGGGAUGCACAACACCAGCAGUUCAAGGGAAACAUGAGGCACAAAUCAGAGUACAGCCUGCAUGAAAACACUCACUCCUAUACAGUGUAUCUUUCCUGGAGAUGGCAAACGAAUAGAGAAAACAUCCCUCUGUGGAAGACAGAACAUUCAAGAUAUGGGAAGAUUUCAACCACACAGAUAAAAAUAAGGCAGCAA